AUCUAACUGACGAGUCCAAAAUAGGGCUAAUCGUGCGUCCUGAAU
rnacentral:hammerhead_ribozyme from 1 species